GACGAACGCUGGCGGCGUGCUUAACACAUGCAAGUCGAACGGAAAGGCCCUGCUUUUGUUGGGUGCUCGAGUGGCGAACGGGUGAGUAACACGUGAGUAACCUGCCCUUGACUUUGUGAUAACUUCAGGAAACUGGGGCUAAUACCGGAUAGGAUCUCCUGCUGCAUGGUGGUGGUUGGAAAGUUUCGGCGGUUGGGGAUGGUCUCGCGGGUUAUCAGCUUGUUUGUGGGGUAGUGGCUUACCAAGGGUUUGACGGGUAGCCGGCAUGAGAGGGUGAACGGCGACCUUGGGACUGCGAUAGGCAGCAGACUCCAACGGGCGGCAGAAGUGGAGAGUCUUGCGCAAUGGGCGGACGCCUGAUGCAGAAGUGCUGCGUGCGGGAAGACCGCUUUCGAGUUGUGAACCGAUUUCGCAUGUGACGAACAGUGCGUGACGGUAAUGGGUAAGGAAGCACCGGCUAACUACGUG
rnacentral:rRNA from 1 species